UGACUGUCAUGUAUAUGUAGCUCUGUAGUUAAGUGUAUGUCUAUGUAUCUGUUUAUGAGUUUGGCAUGUGCAUAAGAUUGUAAGUGUAACUGUGUGUAUUCAUGUGUGUGAGUGUCUAGAAGUGUGACUAGAUAUUUGUGUGUGCUUGCAUGUGUGAGUGUCUAUGUGUGGCAGUGAAACUGCAGAUGUGUGUGGCUGUAUCUAUAUUUGUGUGUGUGUGCAUGUGUCUGAGUGUGUGUAAGUCCUAAAUAGCACUCACACUAUUUACAGUGGUCUGAAAACACCUCUCUGGGUGCUCCUUUGCACCUGGCCACUGGGGACACUGCCAAGUCAUGAUGCUGGACUUUGCUGACUUUCUUUUCCAUUCUUUCUGUUUUUCAAAUGUUGACCUUUAGACACAUUUCAGGACAGCACAUUCCUGUGGGAAAUCUGUGAGGUGGAAAAUCAAAAUUCUCCUGAUGACUGUUUAUAAAGAAUAACGGCUAGCUCAUGUCUUCAGUGUUUUAUAGAAGUGCUCACAUGUAAUCUAAACAAGAACUCUACAAGAGAGGUAUCCAGAGCCACAUUUUAUAGAUAAGGAAAUUGAGGCUCAGAGAGGACUAGAAAUUUGGCUAAGCUCCUGCAGCUGAGUUGGGGGCUGCAUCUGACAAGUGGCCGUGGUUUCAAGUCUCUGGAGUCCCAUUUUUUUCUCUUCCAUGGAGUUUGUUUGCUGCAGUUUGAGGAGCCGAGGCAUAUGAUAAAUACCAGGUGUCCUUAGAAGAAGAGGAGAUUGGGCCCCAGACACACAUGCACAGAAGAAAGACCACGUGAAGACAGAGGGAGAAGACGGCGAUCUACAAACCAAGGAAACAUCCUCAGAAUGAAACCAACCUUGCCAACCCCUGAUCCUAGACCUCCAGCCUCCACAACGGUCUUUGGACUCAGAUGGAAUUAUACCACGGGGUUUCCUGGGUCUCCAGCAUGCAGAUGGCAGAUUGUGGAACUUCUCAGCCUCCAAAAUCGACAUUGCCCAGUGAUCCUGGGGAUGCCGUUUGGAAGCUGCACACCUUUGACAUCUUUAGGGUCGAAGAGAUGAUGCUCCCCAUGGGGACUGACCAGUGAUCCAUUAGUUUCUUGUGGAGUCUUCGGAGGUCUACGGGGCCUUCCUGGGGUGCACCUCAUUUCCCCCACUCCUGACUUCGCAAUUUACUCCUUUGGAUCUUUCCAGAAACCGUCUUUGGCAGUUCUGAAACAAAGGCCACCUAGUGACCAAACACAAAACAAAAAACACUUGGAAAUCAUCAUUUCUCAAAAAGACUUUUGUUUUGAAAGAGACAAUACUGUCUGCCUGUCCUUGGAAAGCGUCCCUGAUUCAGGGUUUCCCCCUAAAUGGCCAGAAGCAAAACAGCUGGAGCCUGGAGCACAGGAUCAUUUUGACAGCAUUUGAGCACUACCUCUUGUAUCUGAUUUGUGGUAGGGAUCAGGCUGUUCUUAGAGUAGGAACAAAAUGUGCUUUGGGGAGAAUCCAAGUGAAGAAAUACAGAAAAAAGCUGAAGCAGCAGCCAGGGUUACAAGUUUCUCCAUAUCCCCAGUGCCUGGCACAGGGCCUGGCUCUGAGUGGGAGCCCAGGCAGAGCGUGCCCAUCUGAUUCCCAGAUCACUGUGCCCUGGAAACCCUGAUAUUUACCUUCCUGGGGUAUUUGUAUGGAGCAGUCACCCUUUUCACAUGCUCCUGGAGUUCCCGCGUUAGUGCCUCUGGGUCAUGAGAGGAGUAGGCUGGAGUAAGGACUAUAAAUGCCUUUACCACCUGCAGGAAAACAAAAUACCCAGAAAAGAUCAGGCCUCGUAUAACAACUCUUUUCUCCUUAAGUGAGGCUUGAAUAAGUGCCUACAUUUACCUUUGCACCAUGAAAGUUCUACUAGUUUUUUUUGGGCACAGCCAAUGACACAAACAACAUCAAUUUUUCUUUUGCUGGCCCUUCCAGGUGUGACUAUUAGGAGGAUUGACCUUUCUGGGAUGAUUUCAAACUCCUACCUCUUUCUCAAAUUACUCCCCAUACUUGGAAUGACACCAUUUGAAGCCAACAUCGCUUCUCUUAAGAAGCAAAUAUUUUGGAGAAAAGAGGUUCAUAAACUCCUAGGGCCAUUUUCUUCCAGAUUUUCCUAAUGAGAAAGGUAGGUAGGCAUGAGUUUGAACAGGUGGGAUUGAGGAAAAUGCAGGCACUUGCAAGGGGAACUAGGUCUUUGGGGGUCUGCGUGGAUGAACAUUUGCAAUCAGCAGACCCUGAACUGCACCACUUCUGUUCCAGACAUCCCGAGGGACAUUCUGCAUCUUGGGUCUCUCUGCCCACAACUUUCCUGCAGGCUGUCUUAUGCCAGGCAGGAGGAAGUGUCCCAGACUCAAGCACAACAAACAUAGUUUCUGUUAGGAAUGGAAGGUCACUUGGAUGCUUAUUAAUUCCAGCAUUCCUAUCUGUUAACAGUAUUCUAUUAAAGGGGUAGCUCACUGUCCUUGCAUACUUCCCACAGGGAGGAAGGCCACUAUCAUUUCAUGUUCAGACAGAUAUGCUUUUAGAAAGAGCUUCCUCUUACUCUUACUACUGUAACUACGAAACAUUUGUUGGACACUUUUUUUUUUUUUUUUUUUUUUUUAAGACAGAGUCUCACCCUGUCGCCCAGGCUGGAGCUCAGUGAGGUGAUCUCGGCUCACUGCAAGCUCUGCCUCCUGGGUUCACGCCAUUCUCCUGCCUCAGCCUCCCGAGUAGCUGGGAUUAUAGGCGCCCACCGCCACGCCUGGCUAAUUUUUAGUAUUUUUAGUAGAGAUGGGGUUUCACUGUGUUAGCCAGGAUGAUCUCGAUCUCCUGACCUCGUGAUCCACCCGCCUCGGCCUCCCAAAGUGCUGGGAUUACAGACAUGAGCCACCGUGUCCGGCUUAUGUGUUGGGCACUUUCUACACACCAGACUCAGUUCUAAGCACCAUACAUGGAUUAAGUUUGAGCACACAGCCAUUUGUCACAGUCCCAGUUAACUCACGGCAUGCAGAACUAGGCAUACGUUUGAGGUAUGAUUUCUUCAGCACAUCAAUGGGACUCCACACCUCCCUUAUUAUACAUUAAUGGCUUUGGAUUUUAGAGGGGAAUCACUUGGCCAAGAAUGGCUGGCUAAAAUGCAGAUUCUCUGGGCUGCAUUCCCAGUAAUCAUGAUUUGGUAAGUCUGACUUUAGGUCUACAAAUCUAUAUUUUAAACAAGAAUCUCAGAUGAUACAGUUGCAAGCAGUCCAAGAACCAGACUUUGAGAAUCUCUCCUGUGGUCUUGAUGCUUCUGAGAAUGCAGGCUAAUGUUGCACUAACUUUCAAAAGGUAACUGUUGUGCUUUAGGAUUAUGUUGGAUGUAAGCCAGUGAAAAGUACCUAAGUCUGCCUGUUAGCUGAUCUUUCCCAUAAUAUGCAUUCCUCUGGGACCCACAGAAAGAUUUCUCCUAGCCGGGCACGGUGACUCACGCCUGUAAUCCCAGCACUUUGGGAGCCGGGGUGGGUGGAUCACCUAAGGUCAGGAGUUUAAGACCUCCAGCCUGGCCAACAAGGCAAAACCCUGUCUCUACUAAAAAUACAAAAAUUAGCCAGGUGUGGUGACAUGUGCCUGUAAUCCCAGCUACUGGGGGGGGUGCUGGGGCAGGAAGAUCACUUGAACCUGGGAGGCGGAGGUUGCAGUGAGCCAAGAUCAUGCCACUGCACUUCAGCCUGGACAACACAGCAAGACUCCAUCUCAAAAAAAAAAAAGGAUUUCUCCUAUGAAAGCCCAGCUUAUUAAAUUUGGCCCAUCUUUCUGGUAUAUGUAGGUCAUUUUGGAUACAUAUUCUAUCCCUCUUAGGUUACAGCCAUCAGCAACUAUUACUGGUGUGCUUGCUAUGUCCUCAUCUGCAAAUAGAAAAGACUUUUUAUUAGACAGGAUGGAUAACAGAGCCUGCACCUCCCCCAAGAUCUCCUGCCCCAUAGCCAGCCUCUCUGGGAUGUAGUUGUGUCCAUUUAAAAGCAAAGUGUUGGUGUUUUCCCAUUAUGUCCCUUUAGAGAGUAAUUGUAUCUCUAAAGACAUGAAGGCAACGUGUGUCUGAUGGUGGCAUUUCAACUUUGUGGCACAAGGAUGGAGGUGAAAUACAGGACAAUCUGAGCCUUCCUGCUUGUUCUGCUGGGUGCUAAUAGGUACAGAAGCAGGAGGCCAUGUUCUUGGGUGCACUGGUUACCUCUCCCCUGAUGGGGUCUGGGCUGCUGACCACAGCCGACUCCAG
rnacentral:lncRNA from 1 species